CUCAACUCAAACAGUCCUGUGACUCCUCACAAAGACUACCAUGGCCAAGAUUUUGCUAAAUUGAAACACAACUGUACACAGCUUCUAAACUGGAGUGGUCAAUCCCAUCUUAACACACGCACCGACAAGUCAAGUACUUGACUACACCCAGCAGCCUUCCGUCACUAAAUUAGAAAUUUAGGUAGUCCAGUGCCUAAGUACAGUGAGUUGCUUGCAAGUCACCAUGACGGUCUC
rnacentral:lncRNA from 1 species